rnacentral:tRNA from 1 species
UGGGGCGUCGUCAAACGGUAAGACACAGGCCUUUGACGCCUGCAUUUGUAGGUUCGAAUCCUGCCGCCCCAGCCA